rnacentral:rRNA from 1 species
GAUGAACGCUGGCGGCGUGCUUAACACAUGCAAGUCGAACGGUGAAGGCGGAGCUUGCUCUGCUGGAUCAGUGGCGAACGGGUGAGUAACACGUGAGCAAUCUGCCCCUGACUCUGGGAUAAGCGCUGGAAACGGCGUCUAAUACUGGAUACGAGCUGCGAAGGCAUCUUCAGCAGCUGGAAAGAAUUUCGGUCAGGGAUGAGCUCGCGGCCUAUCAGCUUGUUGGUGAGGUAAUGGCUCACCAAGGCGUCGACGGGUAGCCGGCCUGAGAGGGUGACCGGCCACACUGGGACUGAGACACGGCCCAGACUCCUACGGGAGGCAGCAGUGGGGAAUAUUGCACAAUGGGCGAAAGCCUGAUGCAGCAACGCCGCGUGAGGGACGACGGCCUUCGGGUUGUAAACCUCUUUUAGCAGGGAAGAAGCGAAAGUGACGGUACCUGCAGAAAAAGCGCCGGCUAACUACGUA